rnacentral:lncRNA from 1 species
GGAGGCACAGACCCUGGGCAGGAAUCAAAGAUAAAGCUUCUAUCUACAUAACAGGCAGAUUGUCCAGAUGUCCCACGCAAGGGCCUGGAAGAGAUGAGGUUGCAGGCAGACCAAGGAGAAGGUGGAGGAGGGGAGGGGAGGAAGUACUGAAACAGAGCUCUUAGAAAGAUGUUUACUGCUGGGCAACACCAUCACCUCCUCUAGAAGGCAUGGAUAGCACCAACUGUUUUGCAGGGUGGUCUGGGAGAGAUGCCGCCUGAGCCGGCCUGUAGCUCCAAACUCAUCGCUGGAAAAUCACAGCUGCCCUCUCCCUGGCCACUCUCUUCUCAUGAGGAAAGGUGAGCCCGGCUGCCCUUGGUCUUCCC